GCGGAGGAAAAGAAACCAACAGGGAUUGCCCUAGUAACGGCGAGUGAAGCGGCAACAGCUCAAAUUUGAAAUCUGGCCUUCGGGUCCGAGUUGUAAUUUGUAGAGGAUGCUUUUGGUGAGGUGCCUUCCGAGUUCCUUGGAACAGGACGCCUUAGAGGGUGAGAGCCCCGUACGGUUGGACACCAAGCCUUUGUAAAGCUCCUUCGACGAGUCGAGUAGUUUGGGAAUGCUGCUCUAAAUGGGAGGUAAAUUUCUUCUAAAGCUAAAUACCGGCCAGAGACCGAUAGCGCACAAGUAGAGUGAUCGAAAGAUGAAAAGUACUUUGAAAAGAGGGUUAAAUAGCACGUGAAAUUGUUGAAAGGGAAGCGUUUAUGACCAGACCUUUGUCAGGCGGAUCAUCCGGUGUUCUUCACCGGUGCACUUCGCCUGGCUCAGGCCAGCAUCGAUUUCUGUAGAGGGAUAAAGACCAUGGGAACGUAGCUCUCUUCGGGGAGUGUUAUAGCCCUAGGUGUAAUACCUUUACGGGGAUCGAGGUUCGCGCUUCUGCAAGGAUGCUGGCGUAAUGGUCAUCAAUGACCCGUCUUGAAACACGGACCAAGGAGUCGAACAUUUAUGCAAGUGUUUGGGUGUUAAACCCUCACGCGUAAUGAAAGUGAACGGAGGUGAGAGCCUUGUAUUAGGUGCAUCAUCGACCGAUCCUGAUGUAUUCGGAAGGAUUUGAGUAAGAGCAUAACUGUUCGGACCCGAAAGAUGGUGAACUAUGCGUGGAUAGGGUGAAGCCAGAGGAAACUCUGGUGGAGGCUCGCAGCGGUUCUGACGUGCAAAUCGAUCGUCAAAUCUGCGCAUGGGGGCGAAAGACUUAUCGAACCAUCUAGUAGCUGGGUUACCGC
rnacentral:rRNA from 1 species